AUUGAACGCUGGCGGCAGGCCUAACACAUGCAAGUCGAGCGAGCGGCGGACGGGUGAGUAAUGUAUGGGGAUCUGCCCGAUAUAGGGGGAUGACUACUGGAAACGGUGGCUAAUGCCGCAUACUACCCGAUGAACCCAUGUGGGAGUAGCUAGUGGGUGGGGUAAAGGCUCACCUAGGCGACACGCUAUAGCUGGUCUGAGAGGAUGAUCAGCCACACUGGGACUGAGACACGGCCCAGACUCCUACGGGAGGCAGCAGUGGGGAAUAUUGCACAAUGGGCGCAAGCCUGAUGCAGCCAUGCCGCGUGUAUGAAGAAGGCUUUAGGGUUGUAAAGUACUGUCAGCGGGGAGGCGUUACCCGCAGAAGAAGCACCGGCUAACUCCGUGCCAGCAGCCGCGGUAAUAC
rnacentral:rRNA from 1 species